rnacentral:rRNA from 1 species
CCUACGGGAGGCAGCAGUGAGGAAUAUUGGUCAAUGGACGCAAGUCUGAACCAGCCAAGCCGCGUGCAGGAAGACGGCUCUAUGAGUUGUAAACUGCUUUUGUACGAGGGUAAACGCAGAUACGCGUAUCUGUCUGAAAGUAUCGUACGAAUAAGGAUCGGCUAACUCCGUGCCAGCAGCCGCUGUAAUACGGAGGAUUCAAGCGUUAUCCGGAUUUAUUGGGUUUAAAGGGUGCGUAGGGGGUCGGAUAAGUUAGAGGUGAAAUCCCGAGGCUCAACUUCGGAAUUGCCUCUGAUACUGUUCGGCGAGAGAGUAGUUGCGGUAGGCGGAAUGUAUGGUGUAGCGGUGAAAUGCUUAGAGAUCAUACAGAACACCGAUUGCGAAGGCAGCUUACCAAGCUACUUCUGACGUUGAGGCACGAAAGCGUGGGGAGCAAACAGGAUUAGAUACCCCGGUAGUC